GACAGAGGGUGCAAACGUUGUUCGGAAUUACUGGGCGUAAAGCGCGUGGUAGGCGGCACUACAAGUCGGAUGUGAAAUCCCCGCGGCUUAACCGUGGAAGUGCACCCGAAACUGUAGAGCUAGAGUCCCGGAGAGGAUGGUGGAAUACUUGGGUGUAGAGGUGAAAUUCGUAGAUAUCGAGAGGAACACCGGUGGCGAAGGCGGCCUUCUGGACAGUGACUGACGCUGAGACGCGAAAGCGUGGGGAGCAAACAGG
rnacentral:rRNA from 1 species